AGCUCCUUAAGAAGUUGAGUACAGAUUGCUUGGUUAUGCAAAACCACCAUGUAAGAAAAUUGUGCUUCACGUACGGUUAACUUGCUUAGCAUUUGUGUACCUAGAUUCAAUUUCUUAAAAAUGUGUUAAGCUUUAUGUUCUAAAACAACCAUCUUUUUAUUGCUAGAUUCAAUUCUCUGUUUUAAUUUCCUUCAUCUUCUGUAAUAAUGCUAGUCACUCAUGAAUAUCUAGCUCAAUGAAAGUGUUGGGUCUAAUAAGCGAGCUUUUUUGGAAAUCCUGCUUUGUCAUGAGCCUCUUUGAUUCAUGGAAGAAUUCCAUUUAUAUGGACUUCUUGUACAAUUGAUUCCUUAGAUCAGUGCACUUCAAUUUUGGGAGACAAUGGACUCUAAAAAUGUUUAGAUUUAUUAAAUUAUUAUGGAUGAUUAAGACAAAACAUCCACCAUGCCGCUAUGCCACAAGCUCACACGACCGGCUUUAGAUCUCCAAAUUUUGCUCAUCUGUAUAUGCCAUUUGCUUAGGCUUUGAACUUUUAUCAAUGAUCGUUAGCGAGGUAAUUUUUCACCCUUCACCCGUUUUGAUUUUCUGGUUGGUUAGCGUAGCUUUUCUAUUUUGUGUCUGAUUAACUUGUGCUUAUUUUAGGCUUGAAACAUGUGUUGUUCAUUUCUUGAUUAAUAUCUUGCUGUUCAAUUUCAAUUUGGAUUUUGUAUGCAUAUUACGUGUGUGCUUCUUAUGGCUUUACUGUAUGCUUUUAGUUUGUCUCUUGUGUAAGAAAAAUGUCUUUUACUGCAUACAACAAUUAUAAUAUGAUGGUACUCUUUCCGACAUUGCUGAUUGCUUUUGUUGUUCAUUAUUUUUAUUUUUACUUUUUUCUCUUCCUCAACAAUAGGACAGAAACAUUCUGGAAACAUUUGAUGGAGCAAAUCAGGCAUCUACCCUCCAAUUCGUCAAAAACGUUAAUAUUGAAGGAACAUUGUUCCAAAGGUACAUAGUUUUCAUUGCUCUUUAAUUGAUUUUUAUGUUGUUACAAUUAAUGAUGCUAGGAGCCUCUUCACAUCUAACUUUCUCAGCAUGCUUACCAUUUUUUGAUUUUCAAACACUUUGACUCAAUAUUGAUAAUGAAGCUGUACACAAGAUCCAAAAGUUUCUGGAUAGUCUUGUCAUGAGUAAGAAAAAGAUUCCAUGCCGCUUUAACAUUUUUUGCAGCUUAAUCCAGAUUGUUUUAUUUUCUUCUUGGUAUUAAGCUUCCAGAAUGACAUGAUUUCGCAACGUGAUACUCGUGCACAUUUUGCAGAUUUCCCCGGAGCUCCUUAAGAAGUUGAGUACGGAUUGCUUGGUUAUGCAAAACCACCAUGUAAGAAAAUUGUGCUUCACGUACGGUUAACUUGCUUAGCAUUUGUGUACCUAGAUUCAAUUUCUUAAAAAUGUGUUAAGCUUUAUGUUCUAAAACAACCAUCUUUUUAUUGCUAGAUUCAAUUCUCUGUUUUAAUUUCCUUCAUCUUCUGUAAUAAUGCUAGUCACUCAUGAAUAUCUAGCUCAAUGAAAGUGUUGGG
rnacentral:lncRNA from 1 species